rnacentral:lncRNA from 1 species
CCUCAAUUGCAUCUCCCAGUACUUACUUUUUGAAAGAAAAAUAGCAUGCUAUCUAUAACGUCCCAACUUUUCAAGGAGCUAUUCAUUCUAGAACUAUUCUAGUCCUAACACGCUUAAUUUUUUUAAUCUCUUAGGCUUAUCCACCGUACAAAAUGUUAUAGUCGGGUCAAGAGUUUUAGUUUUAUUAUAUCUUAUAUAUAGAACUAUCUGAGAUUUUAUACUAUUUGUUUCGUGUUUUUUAAGAAACAAAUUUAGUUGAAAAUAUGAAUUAGCUAGGCUUCGAACUUUGAAUCUCGGAUACCCCAUCAUCAAGCCCUUUGCCUUUUGUACUAGGCA